rnacentral:misc_RNA from 1 species
ACACCUCAACUCUCAUGGCUCGCCGUGAUGAGCUUGGACUUUGGGGGUCUUGCUGGCCUGUGGUCGGCUCCUCUCAAAUGAAUUAGCCUGCCGGUGUUUGGUGGGAUCACAGGUGUGAUAACUAUCUACGCUUGUGGUUUUCCACCAGGUAACCCUCAGCAAUGGAGGUUCACUGGAGCUUAUAAACGUCUCUCCUCAGCGAGGACAGGUUUUGACCAU